CAAAGUGUAGCUUAAACAUAAAGCAUCUAGCUUACACCUAGAAGAUAUCAUACACAAAUAAUCACUUUGA
rnacentral:tRNA from 1 species